GGUCAUGAGCGACAGCCAUCAGGCCCCGGCCGGCUGUCCGGCAACCCUCCGUCCGUGGCGGGGUGCCCCGGGUGAGGACCAGGCCGUGAGCAGCAGGGCUCGCGGCAAGCGCGGACC
rfam:Streptomyces sp. H-KF8 tig00000139, whole genome shotgun sequence.